CACAAGGGGUGAAACCUGCGGUUCAAUUGGAGUCAACGCCAGAAAUCUUACCCGGAGAGACAGCAGAAUGAAGGUCAAGCUGAAGACUUUACCAGACAAGCUGAGAGGUGGUGCAUGGCCGUCGCCAGCUCGUGCCGUGAGAUGUCCUGUUAAGUCAGGUAACGAGCGAGAUCCCUGCCUCUAGUUGCCACCAUUACUCUCAGGAGUAGUGGGGCGAAUUAGCGGGACCGCCGCAGUUAAUGCGGAGGAAGGAAGGGGCCACGGCAGGUCAGUAUGCCCCGAAACUCUGGGGCCACACGCGGGCUGCAAUGGUAACGACAAUUGGUUUCGAAUCCGAAAGGAUGAGGUAAUCCUCAAACGUUACCACAGUUAUGACUGAGGGCUGCAACUCGCCCUCACGAAUAUGGAAUCCCUAGUAACUGCGUGUCAUUAUCGCGCGGUGAAUACGUCCCUGCUCCUUGCACACACCGCCCGUCGUUUCAUUGAAGUGAGCUUUUAGCGAGGUGACGUCUAAUUGGCGUUAUCGAACUUGAGGUUCGUGACAAGGGAAAAGUCGUAACAAGGUGACCGUAGGGGAACCUGCGGUCGGAUCACCUCCUU
rnacentral:rRNA from 1 species